UUUGAUAAAUCUGAAUUUAUUUUUUUUUUAAUUUUGAUUUAAUUUCAAUACUUUGUUGAGCCGGUUAAUAAAUGAUUUGGGCCGUAUUUGAUCAUCACUGGGUUACGCUUAUCUCACCGAAGUAAAUCAGAAAACGAUCAUAAGCUAAUAAAAUGAUAAUAUCAGGUAAUCUAUUUAAGUCGGUACACUCAUUAACUAAUACUCCAUCUAUGUAUGGACUUUUUAAUAUAGAUUGCCAUUUGAAAAUCAUAAUUAAGUAGUGGUUUUACCCACAAAAAUAAGAGCGUCAAAAAAUAACAUAAAUAUAAAAAUGUAGAGUUGCUUGUUUCUUAUAUGUUCUAAAAACCUUAUUCCAAAAAAAGUUAAUACUUUCUGAGAUAAUAAAUGUACUCAUUUAAAUGGAUCACCUGGUAGAUGCAACUAAAUAAGUGAUAACCAUUUGACCAUAUUUUCACAUGAUUAUAAAUUAUUAUUAUUUGUAAAACACGACCACGCUGUUUAGACUAAAAUUUAUAUACAUUUAUUUAAAUAAAAAUGUUUGUAGUAAAAUUAAUUGAUGAAAAUAGCGAAGAAUUUACGUGGUGGAAUAGUCGAGCGAUCAGACUUUUGUCUAAUCAUUUUAGAACCAAUU